rnacentral:rRNA from 1 species
UACGUAGGGUGCAAGCGUUAAUCGGAAUUACUGGGCGUAAAGCGUGCGCAGGCGGUGAUGUAAGACAGAUGUGAAAUCCCCGGGCUCAACCUGGGAACUGCAUUUGUGACUGCAUCGCUGGAGUGCGGCAGAGGGGGAUGGAAUUCCGCGUGUAGCAGUGAAAUGCGUAGAUAUGCGGAGGAACACCGAUGGCGAAGGCAAUCCCCUGGGCCUGCACUGACGCUCAUGCACGAAAGCGCGGGGAGCAAACAGG